UUCCUGAAUAGACAAAAAGCAGGUAAGUGUAAACAGACAGUUUAAUGGGAUGGAAUGGAAAGUAUUAAAGGCAGCAAGCUACUUGUAAGACUAAGUAGAUGGCAAGUGGAUGAUUUCAAACAGCCCAGCCAUUUAAAGGCUUAUAAAAUUCUGAAGACAACAUCAGAGAAGGCUGCUGAUGAGAUAAGGUUUUUAGAUUUUUAUGACAGACAAGAGGGAGGCACUGCAGUGUUCUGAAUCAAAGAUGAUACAAGGAACACAGUUCAUAUUUCAAUGCAAAUUCUUUCAUAAAGAAAACU